rnacentral:rRNA from 1 species
UACGAAGGGGGCUAGCGUUGUUCGGAAUUACUGGGCGUAAAGCGCACGUAGGCGGACUACUAAGUCAGGGGUGAAAUCCCGGGGCUCAACCCCGGAACUGCCUUUGAUACUGAUAGUCUCGAGUCCGGAAGAGGUGAGUGGAAUUCCGAGUGUAGAGGUGAAAUUCGUAGAUAUUCGGAGGAACACCAGUGGCGAAGGCGGCUCACUGGUCCGGUACUGACGCUGAUGUGCGAAAGCGUGGGGAGCAAACAGG